rnacentral:sRNA from 1 species
CUGUUUUCUUACAGAGCUCUCUGAAGGUUUUGUUUUGAUUUGAUUUUCAUUUUUUUCUAAUUGCACCUGUUCAAAGCUAAGAUUUCCGUGGAGAGUCAGCAAAAGGGUGGUAUGGAGUGAGCAUGCCGCAGCCAACCUCAGCUUCGUCAAUGUCUGCCCCUACAGCUCAUCACCUCCAACACCUCUAUCCUGGUGACAGGUCCCCACAUCUCCAGGGGCAGCUUCACUCUUAAGACCUUACUACAUUCUCCUCCGAAUCAUGAAAUUAUCUCUUAAGGAGACAUCGAUCUUAGCAUUUUGCUUCCUGGAUUGCCAAAGGACCCCUCCGGGAACAAGGACAUCUCUCUGUCACGGUUGGGAGAAAAGAGUCACAGAGAUGGACGCAGGUACAAAUGGAAAUAAAGACCCUGCCUAAAGGACGGAAAGCAAAUACAACUGCUAGAAACGUCAUAAAAAGGAGAAGUCAUAAAAAGGAGACGUCAUAAAAAGGAACCGUGUACAGAGAAAGAAGGGGAAGAGGGGAGAAGAGAAGAAGAAGCAACAUCAACCAUGUGCUCAUCUCUGAAUCCGUGCUUAAUUACUAACUGUCAAGAAGAUAAAUUCCACAGAAUAAAUAGUGGUAGAAUUUGGGGGAGGACAAGCAGGGGGCAGAGAAGAAAUAUCCAACAGCAUAUCCCAUGUGUCCCGCCACCAUGAAUUUCCCACCACCAUGGAUUUCCUGCCAAGAGAUGCACCCUCAAACCAUGCAGCAAGUUAAUUCUUCCCCCAUUAAAUUGCUUUCCCCAGAUAUUUGGUCUCAGCACUGAGCAAAAUAACCAGCAUAGAGAAGAACGCAGAUUAAAACAAGAACGUAUACAGUGCCUGCUUGCUCUGAGCACACAACUACCUUUGAGAGAGAGUCCACACAGUUUCGGGAUUAAAUGACAUGGCAUAGUUAAAGUCCUUCACAAUGUGCUUGGCAUUGUUCUUAAAUAUUAACUAUUGCUACCACCAUUUUGCUGCUGAUCUUUUAAAUUUGCAUCUAAACAAUAAACAUGGAUUCCACAGAGCCAAUCUCCUUCCUUCCUUCCUUCUGUCACCUCAGGGUGCAAAGACUUUUCCAAAGAAAAUACAGCAAAUCGAGGUUCCCAGGUCUCAUAUGACCUGACUCUGAGCCGUAGUUUCCUUGGGUGAGAAAUGAUGACAGGCCACCAGAUGUUGCUCAAGGACUGCAGGGAGGUUAUGUGACAUAAAACAUUGGGUGUGUGCCAUACAGUUAUUUCCCAGUGUGGAAACAGUGGCAUUGCUGUCCUUAAUGCACAAGUUGUGCCCCCAACAUCCAGCUAUACUUUGAGAUGUCGAAAAAGAAGAGCCUGGAUAGACCUCAAGCCCAAGAUUCUUUGAGUCCUUCUGCUGCUGGUGGACACAAAAGUUAGCAUCCCAAGUCCCUCAGGUUAUAGUUGCCAUGAGGAUAUGCUGCCUCCCUGUGGAAUUUGACAGACAUGGCUCUGAGGCAUCCAAGUCUUCCAGCCCAGAAUUUCAAUGCCAAGCCAAUCUUGGGACAAUUCCCUGGGCUUCGUAAUUGUUUUCUCUACAUAUAAUAUUCAAAUGACAUUGAUUGCUUCUCUGUGUUGCCCUACUUAAUACAGCAAAUCACAGCCCAUCUGCUCCCCUCGUGGUGUUAAGGUUUCCCUGUGCUCUUUGCACUGAUUGGCUGCACUGGGGUGGUGGGUGGGGCAGAGGAUUUUCAAGGUAAAUAAGUUGGGGAAGGAAAACAUAACGUCUUCUCCGAAAAUUAGAGGUAAGAGACAAGAUAACAAACUCAGUUA